GCCUCGAUGGUGAAAUGGUAGACACGCGAGACUCAAAAUCUCGUGCUAUAGAGCGUGGAGGUUCGAGUCCUCUUCGAGGCA
rnacentral:tRNA from 1 species